rnacentral:lncRNA from 1 species
CUCUCUCAGCACACAAACCUCUCACUCUCUAAAAACAGAAAAACCCUUCAUCGCUCAACCUCCCUCCGCCACUAGCUCCCGCCGCCACCUCCAUUAAACCGCUAAACCCUUCAAUCGCCUCUCUACCAUCGCAAAUCCUCCACUCUCAAAACCCUCCAUCUUCACCCUACUUCCUCAUCCGAAAACCUUCCACCGCUCAAAAUCGCCGCCACACAACCACACGCGACCUUCAUUCUCACCAUCCACCGUCAUCGCCGCUGUCAAACCCAUUUUCCUCCAUCAACCCUUCAAAUCCACCAAACCCUAAACCAUCGCUCACCCCCAAUCGCCGCUCACUUUGAAUCUCCGCCGUUUACCACCAACACCACAACCAACAAAUACCCUCCUUCAACACAAACCCUCACACCAUCAUCGAAACCCUCACUCAACAACCGUUUCAACCAUGGCACCACCCAGCUCGGAACGGCAAAACGCGUCCCCAAGGUAGACGUUCCGCCGGAACAGGUGCAGUCAAAAAGCGACGGCUUGGAUCUAUACCAACAAUAUCUUGAAUAGCAUAGUGGAUCUGUCGAAGAUCUUACGGCGCUCACAAGAUACCUUUCUGUUCUAAUGGAAAUCCCGCGACAACCAUGAACUCAGAGCAGCAAACAGAACACGACAAUUUGAUCAUUUUGGUAAUAUUUCGGUUAAAGCGUCGGAUUUAAGUUUAUGUUGUUUCUAAUGAGUUU